rnacentral:rRNA from 1 species
AUCAAAUUUCUAAGGGCAAAUGGUGGAUGCCUUGGCAUCUGGAGCCGAUGAAGGACGUAGUAAUCUGCGAUAAGCCUCGGGGAGUCGAUAAACGGGCGUUGAUUCGAGGAUUUCCGAAUGGGGGAACCCGGCCGCAUUGUGUGUGGUCACUCCGGUCUGAAUAUAUAGGGCUGUGAGGGGGAACGUGGGGAAGUGAAACAUCUCAGUACCCACAGGAAGAGAAAACAAUAGUGAUUCCGUUAGUAGUGGCGAGCGAACGCGGAUGGGGCUAAACCGGUUGUGUGUGAUACCAGGUAGGGGUUGCAUGAUCGGGGUUGUGGGACAUGCGUGGUCGUUCUAUCUGGCGGCUGGCGUUUGCGCAUUGUGUAGGUGAACAGGUUUGAAUGCCUGACCGUAGGGGGUGCGAGUCCCGUAGCUGAAACAUGGUGUGUGCGUUUGUGUGUAUCCCAAGUAGCGCGGAGCCCGUGAAACUCUGUGUGAAUCUGUCGGGACCACCCGAUAAGCCUAAAUACUUCCAGGUGACCGAUAGCGGACGAGUACCGUGAGGGAAAGGUGAAAAGUACCCCGGGAGGGGAGUGAAAUAGUACCUGAAACCAUUUGCUUACAAUCCGUCGGAGCCUUUUGGGGUGACGGCGUGCCUUUUGAAGAAUGAGCCUGCGAGUUAGUGAUGUGUGGCGAGGUUAACCCGUGUGGGGUAGCCGUAGCGAAAGCGAGUCUGAAGAGGGCGUUGAGUCGCAUGUUCUAGACCCGAAGCGAAGUGAUCUAUCCAUGGCCAGGUUGAAGCGAGGGUAAAGCCUUGUGGAGGACCGAACCCACCUAGGUUGAAAACUGGGGGGAUGAGCUGUGGUUAGGGGUGAAAGGCC